rnacentral:lncRNA from 1 species
GUACUAAGGAAAAGAGAAAAUGGAGGAGGGCAAUUACCAAAACAAGAAAUCAUCUAAUAAAACAUGAUCCACAGAACAGGAAGCCUGAUUUCUCUUGUCAAGUCACUAAACAGGCAAGAGCCUUCUCAGAUAUGUCCUGAACACCUUCUCUUUGCCUGACAAGUUCAAGAAAUUAAGUCAAAUAAGUAUUUGAUGGAAAUCUACCUGGCUCCAAAGACUGGGCUUCUAACAAUCCUCUCCACAACGUUUGAAUACAAAAAAAGUAUCCUGCUAAAGGACAGAGCCCCUCCAUCUCUUCCCGCCAAGCUCUCUGCGUGCCUGGUGAGAGGUAUAGCACUUUUGCUUUCUUUUUCAAUUUGCUCUUUAAAUGAGUGACAAUAUCACCUAGUGAUUAAGGACCUGCCUGGAGCUGGGCUGAUGCUUGGAGUUGGGCUGAACCUGAGCCUGAAUUCGAGCUCUUCUUCUUCUUGCUGACUUUGACCCUAGGUGAGUUAAUUUUUCUAAGCUUCAGUUUCUUGGUCUAUAAAAAGGAGGAUGAUAAUUCUUUUCUCACUCAGUAUUGUUUUAAAGAUUAGUAAGAUAAUAUAUGCAACGCAUUUAGCACAGUGCCUUGCACAUGAUAAACCCUGAAUAAAUGGUAGCCAGUUUUAAAAUACAACAUAAUUUUAAGCGUUGGUAUUUCUUAUGACUCCAAUCUCAUCCCUCCUUUUCCAUUGUCACUACAUUUGCUCUGUGUCUCCCAUAUCGAAUCUGGAACUUGCAUUCAAAGCCUUUAUCUCUCAGUGCCAAAAGAGUAGCCCCGCAUGGAUGAACAAAGGUACUCAAAUUCAACAUGCCCAGAAUUAAACCCAGUAAAUGGGGAUUCAGUCACAACCCCAGUCUAUCCACCUAAGGGACAAAGUCCUGGCAGUCACCUAAGACUCCUCAUUAUCUUCAACCCCCAUCCCUGAUCAGUCACCCUAUUGGUUCUAACUUAUAAUAUUCAUUUAUUUUAUCACUACUGCCACAACCUGGGGUCAGACAUCAAACUUCUCUAUUCUGCCCCAUUGUUACCUCUUGACUACAAUCUCUGCCUCAAAUCUAAUCUGACCUCAUUCCUCUAUCUACUCUGCUAUGAAAGAGAUUACAGUUACACAUAUCUAAUUUUAUUACCUUUCCAUAUAAUGGUUCUCCAUUCUCCUGUGGGGUGCAUACAGUUUAGGGAACAUAAAAGUAUUCACUGGGAGCUAAGAAGAAAAUACCAUUUUUUUUUUAAAUUUUAUUUUAACAAUUAUUUUGAAUAUAUUUAAAAGUAUUUAUUUAUAAUGUAUGUGAUAUAGUAGUAAAGUAAAGUAAUACAUAUGAGUGAUGGUUAAUUUUAAGUGUGUCUCUGGCUAGGCCACAGUGCCCAGAUAUUUGAUCAAAAAUGUAUGAAUGUUACUCUGAAGAUAUUUUUUUAGAUCAAAUUAACAUCUAGGGGAGUACCCAUUGUGGCUCAGUGGAAAUGCCUCCAACUAGUAACCACGAGGGUACAGGUUGGAUCCCUGGCCUUGCUCAGUGGGGAGCUGUAGUGUAGGUCACAGAUGUGGCUCAGAUCCUGAGUUGCUGUGGCUGUGGUAUAGGCCAGCAGCUGUAGCUCCAAUUCAACCCCUAGCCUGGGAACUUCCAUAUGCCGCAAGUGUGGCCCUAAAAAACACAAUAAAAUAAUAUAAACAUCUAAAUCAAUAGAUUUGUAGUAAAGCAGAUUACCCUCCAUAAUGUGGGUGGGCCUCUAUCAAUCAGUUGAAAGCUUCAAGAUAAAGACUGACUUCUCCCAAAGGAGGGAGAAUUUUGCCAGCAGGUUGCUAAAGGUUGCUAAAAUAUCAAAUCGUUGCUAGUAUCUAACUUACAGUCUACCCUGCAGAUUUUGGACUUGCCAGCCUCCACAAUCAUGUGAGUCAAUUCCUAAAAAUAAAUCUCUCUCUCUAUCUCUCUCUCCCUCUCUCUCUCUCUCUCUCUCGAGUGUGUGUGUGUGUGUGUGUGUGUGUGUGUGUGUGUGUAUCCUUUUGGUUCUGUCUCUCUGAAGAAGCUUGACUACUACAGUAAUUUUAAAAUGUAUAUAAUAUGUUCAAAAGUUUUUCAGAACCAAUGUUGUAAAGCUUUUUUUUCCAUAGUUUUUCACUAGGAGUUUUAGAAUUUCAGGUCUUCCAUUUAAGUCUGUUAUCCAUUUUGAAUUGAUUUUUGUAUAUGUUGUAACAUGAGGUCUAGUGUCACUCUUUUUUGCAUGUAAAUUUCCAGAUUUCCAACACCGUUUGUUGAAGAGACUAUCUUUUCCCCAUUUUGUACUCUUGACAAAAACCAGUUGACCACAUGGGCACACAUUUAUUUCUGGGCUCUCUGUUUGGUUCCACUGGUUUGUAUGUUGGUCUUUAUGCCAGUAUAUACUAAUUUGAUUAUGGUAGCUUUGUAGUGUAUUUCAAAAUAAGGAAAUAUGAUGCCUCCAGGCUUGUUCUCUUUCAAGAUUGUUUGAGCUAUUCAUAUAUUUUGUGGGUUCAUAUAGAUUUAGAAAUGUCAUUGGGAUUUUGAUAUGGAAUGUGUUGUGUUGAAUUUGUAGAUUGCUUUGGGCAACAUGGACAUUUUAACAAUAUUAAAUCUUACAAACCAUGAAUACAGGUUUUCAUUUGUUUGUGGUCUUUAAUUUCUCGUAUCAGUGUUUUGUACUUUUUAUUAUAGAAGCGUUUUGCCUCCAUAGUUGUUUAUCCCUAAGUAAUUUAUUCUUUUUGAUGCUAUUUUAAAUGGAAUUGUCAUCCUAAUUUCCUUUCAAGGUGCUUUGUUGUUAGUGUAUAGAGAUGCAAUUGAUUUUCAUAUAUUGAUUUUUUUUUUAUCUUGCAACUUGAUUAAAUGUAUUUAUUAGUUUUAAACACUAUUCUUAUGGAGGCUAUAUGUAUAUAGAUAGAUAGAUAUACACACAUACAUAUGUGAUUGUACUGUCUACAAUCAAGAAAAAUUUACUUCUUCCUUUCCAGUUUGGAUGUCUUUUUUUCUUUUUCUUGUCUAAUUUUUCUGGCUAGGCACAAAAAAAUAAAUAAAUAAACAAAUAAAAAACAAUAGCCUGGGAACCUCCGUAUGCCGUAGGAAGUGGCCCUAGAGAAAAAAAAAGGCAAAAAGACAAAAAAUAAAAAUAAAAA